AAACUCGAAACUAGUAGCAAUACUUAGCAGUGUGCAUAUAUAAGCCAGGAUAAUGUCUUAGUUAAAACAGGCUAUGGAAUGGUUGUCUAUUACGUGAUGACAUUGUAACACGCCAUUCCGUUCGUUCCGUAUUUAGGAUGCUGAGCGUGGAGGUAGACGCUGCCACGCCUAUCGCCGCUUCACUGCUGCUCGAAAAAUCGUACGGUGAAGGAGCUGUACGAGGGAAGCGUCAAGCUGAAGAGCGAUGUAUAUUGACGCCACCUACGAUAUUAUGGCGUGCUAUUUUUCAGCGGUCCUAUCAGUGCUUUCGCUGACGGCGAUCGCGGCCUGUCCAUGGGCUACCGAAAGCACCAUCAAACAGUCAAACCUAAUAGGAUUCGUAAGUCUGCCGCAGGUAAAAACCAAAAUUUUUCCCGACAGGCAGUGGCGGAGGCUGCGGCAAGGCUGAGGGACAUGGCGUGAACCUCCGAAGCAGUUUAGUAGACAUUGUCUACAUGCUAAAAGCACCACGGCGCGCUUCUCUACGGCUGACUACCAUGUGUGCUAGCUGCUCAACCUCCCAAGUGCUGAUCUUCGUGGACUUUCCCGUCAUGCCUACUAACGUCAUAGGACCUGGUAGUUCAAGGCUCAAUGGUCGGCAGUUCUUUUUAGCCACGGCUGCUUCCUGCGGUAAUCUUCUCGCCUGGUGUUCUUCUGGCGAGAUGCUACCUCGCCACUUGCAUGGCUCCCUCACGCUUUCCUACUGGUCUCCAGGGAACGCAUUCCUUGGCGAGCGGAAACGCCAGUCAGUCAGCCCGUAGUAACAGUUGCCUCCGCUGGUGGUGGCUACGGAAAAGGAAGCCGUGUUGUCAAUAGGCAACAAAGUCCAGGCCAAGCAGAAGACAGAGCCUUAACCGCAGUUGCCACUAUAACCACAAUCCACUCGGACGACAGAUCCCUUGGCUACCAGGCCCCUAACUCGUGGCUGCAAUGCCCGUGACAGCGACGGGAGAAAUCGCAAUAAAGGCAAAGCGACAGAAGGUAAAACGGGAUUUCGUGGGUGAACAAGAAACAUAGCGAGGGGCGUGGGAGAUAAACUAGGCAGAAAGAAAGAAAACGAACAAGUGAGCACAAAAAAGAUUGAAAUCGAGACGAAUGAAAAGCGAGGUAGGAUGAACCGUAGGAAGACCUGGAUAGAAUUCCGCAUCAACUUAAUCUACAACAGAAAACAUUUCAUACUGUAACAAACUGCAUAAUACAGUGUCAGUAAAAUACAUAGUACUGAUGUAUGUAUAUAUUAAGCGGAGACAUGCAGAUAGAUCUGUCUACCAUGGAAGCUAAAGGACAUGAAAUACUCCUCCAACGAAGCACAUCUGGAACGUGUCAGCGGUUUUUGCCUGCAGGCGUAAAUGUCAAAUGAAGUUGAGUCGUACCGCAGCUAAAGUAUAUGGUAUUCCCGCGUAUGUAUUACAUCUAUCAAAAUAUCUUUGUUAUGAAAUCGUUUGCCAUUUGUUCUGGAUGUUCUUAUAUUUUUUUGUCACCAUAAAUAAGAAAUAUAUGCGCGUAGGAAAAAAGGAAUAGCUAAACGAAAACAAAUGGUUCGUGCAGUGGAUGAGGACCGCCCACUCGUAACGCUGGAAAUCGUCAAAAGUUGGCUUUGUUAGCAAGAGCUUCAUCAACUAAUUAAAAUAAGCUGGCCCAUUGAACACGACAGAUAUUUUCCAGACAAUUUGAAUAAAAACAGAUAAUUGCAUUAGAUAAGGCAAAAAGGUUGUUCUAUUACUCAAAUCGAACAUACAUAUAGACAAAAAUGAGAUAAAAGUUCAUUAAGAGCACGCAAUCACGUGAAAAAUAAGCCUAAAGCAGAGUUAAAUGGCAAGUAUAGAUCAAGUCCACGGUGCAACAUCUGUUUCCUUGACAGGGAAUACGGUAAAAUCGAUCCGUCAAAUACCGCAAUAUAACCUAUCGACGGAAUUGUUGGCAAAAUUUGAGUCAUCUGAAUGUCCAAGACAACAUCUGCCAUCUUUGCCUUCCAGCUAGCUGAGUGUCUUUCAUAGAUGUCUGUUAGGCCCAGAUUUAAUUAGCACUGGAAAUCUACAGUAACAAGUAAUGUUAGGUAAACAGGUUUUAUGUAACCCAACUCGUUCAUUUCCUAGCGUGAAUUACCUUCAAGCUAACUGAACGGCAUAGCUAUUUUUGAGUACGAUCUUCGGAUUAAAACGUUUUAUACUGCAGUCAAAGUAUCGAGAAAACGACUGUAUUUUACCGACCAAGAUCCGACCCAUCAUCGGACCUGUGACAUAGUGUUUGCCUGUCUGUCUGCUGUAGCCCAAAUUUUAGAGGAUUCAUUGUAGGAACAAUUGGAAUUUGGAACGUUGGGACAUGUAUAAUUAGUACAGAGCUGAUGCGUCAGCGUUUUUUGACACGGUAGCCGUGACAAAUGAGUCCCCGAAG